CGGACGGGUGAGUAAUGUACGGGGAUCUGCCUGAUGGCGGGGGAUAACUACUGGAAACGGUAGCUAAUACCGCAUAAUGUCUGCGGACCAAAGCGGGGGACCUCCGGGCCUCGCGCCAUCAGAUGAACCCAUAUGGGAUUAGCUAGUAGGUAAGGUAACGGCUUACCUAGGCGACGAUCCCUAGCUGGUCUGAGAGGAUGAUCAGCCACACUGGACUGAGACACGGCCAG
rnacentral:rRNA from 1 species